UCUCGAUCAUUGCUGUGGGUUGACGUCCGAUGCCGAGCGGACGGUGGCGAUACGGCUCUGUAUCCAUCUCUGAGCCCUACCCCAUUCUCUUCCCGCACCCACCUCGCCGCAUGCCCCCACCCCUCCCAAUCUCGACCUGGAUCGCCGGUUCGGUCUUCACCACAGAGAGAACGAGGGGGAGAGAGGCGAUGGGAUGGGAACUGGCAUCCAUGGGUCGGAGUGAGCCGCGAAGCACAUCUCUGCGGAGGUCGAGAUGCCCGGAUCGUUGCCAUUCUUUCUAUACUCAAACGCACCAAAAAAAAAAAAGAAAUCAUGGCGACGGUGGCAUCGGGUGCUACUGCCUACGAGUAUGUCCAUAUCAUCCAGGCGGAGAAUCUCACCGGGAAUGUUCCGUCCAUUCUCUACAGGCGAUAGGGCUCUCCCGAUCUCGUCCUGGAGGAACAACGCUGUUCACCACUUCUGGUCAGGUUGUCGGCUGCAGACCUGUUCAACCAGUGUCUUCGGAUGCUAUUGUCCAAGACAGCCUCCACGCUUCUGCCCUACAUACAGACUAUCCAUGUCUGUCCCUAGAUAUGCGGGGAGGAGCAAGCAGGAGGGCAAGGAGGAGCACACCUCUAUCAUGUACGUAUGUAUUUUCACUUUAUGAUAGCCAAAACAGAUAUCAUUUUAUUAGGUUGAUGCUUAUAUGAAAAAGAUUGAAACAACUCGUUUAGCUUGAUUGGUUCUCAAAGCCUUCCAUAUAGAUUGAAACAGUACAUCAGAUGGAAGGACAAUCUAAUUUUGUAUUACCCCGUUCCGAAUUGUAGGCACACGAUCAUUUUGGGAGCACCAAACAUGCAGUGCUUGAUGCUUAUAUAUGUAAAAGUAACAUAGGAAAAUCCUCUCUAAAGCUAACAUGGUUUUCACAGUAUAAUGUUCAGUUUUGCGUUAAGCACUUAAGAUACACUUCCCCCUCCAUUCCCUCCCUGCACCAUCGCUGCCGCUCAGCAGACGGAGAUGCCGCGUUCUGCGGUGCCGGCGAACUCCCACACGAUUCAUCCUGGACAGUUCGGCAACAGGUAGCAGCAGCUCAUCUGCGACGUCACCAAGGACAGUAAGAACCCGCUGUGUGGCCUUCCCCAACGAGUCGGUCAUCCUCUGCCCAGCUAUUGUAAGUCUACAUACAUUAGUUGAUCGAUCAUUGCUAUUACAGAGUACUGUGCAUACCAUUUUUUCAUGCUUAUGGCACUGAUGUUUCCUCAACAAUUCUUUUGUUGCGUAUGAACAACUGUGCAACAUCUGCCCCUACCACAAGACGUAAACUUGUACUUUGCAGUAACAAUCAAGCUCUACUAUUAGAGGGACGGUGCAGUAGGCAUAUCUUCCUACAUUUAUGUGAAUUCGGAAAAUAUCACCAAUGAUGUCUGUCUGAUAAUGUCUUAUAUAGCUGAGUGGUGAGGAAUAGUUCAGUUGGUCUGGCCAUGAUUGAUACUCCCUCCGUCCGGAAAUACUUGUCGGGGAAAUGGAUGUAUCUAGACAUAUUUUUGUUCUAGAUACAUCCAAUUUUAUCCAUUUCUCCGACAAGUAUUUCCGGACGGAGGGAGUAUUACUGACGAAUUAGAAAGUUUUGAAUUAUGUACGCAGAUUUGUUCAUUACAGGGAUGUGUUAUUUUUCCUAACAAAGAUACUUUAGUUCAUUGACAACUUUUCGAAUCUGUAACCCUCGAUUUUGUACCCUCUUAAGUAAUGAUUGUCUGCCAUUUCCAAUUGCGAAUACGCGUGUUAGUAUACAUAGUUUCUAUACAACAAACUGUAAUCAGAUAUUGCUUGUGGUUUGUGAACUUUUCGCCGCAGAAUAUUACUGGAGAGUUUUAUUUUGCAUGCCUUAUUUCAGUUUAGAUCAUACUAACGUGGGGCUGUAAUUAACAAAACAUUGUUUUUCGUGUAAAAAUGACUUAAUGAGACUGGUACUUUACCAAUUGGAAAAUCAGCAACGGCUAGCGAAUUAAGGUGUUCUUUUUUAGUUCUACAUAGUUCUGCUGCUGAAAUGUAUUCGGCCACUUCUUUGAUAGUGGGAAGAAAGAAAAACUUUUUAGUGGUCAUUCUGUCGUUGAAAAUUGCAUCUAACAUUUUGUUUAAACUAUGGAACUGGGUUCUUCUUGGGUUUUCAAACAUUUGUCUUUUUGCUUACCUUGUGUGACUUAACUGCAGAUGAAACAUUUCUUGAGGUCUACUUUCAAACCAGUUAUUAACAAGACCAUCUCAGGAACAUAAUACAAGAAUGUCGAAUGAAACAGACAUGUUACUAUUCAUGGAUGGAAUAUGUCUUCAAUUUCAUCAAGUUCAUCCCUGAGCUUAUAUAGAGCAAAAUUUAUGUAAUAUGCAAAUGUAAAUUUGAUUUCAUUUUACCAGAUAAACUCGUCUUGGUUGAAUUUACUAAUCUGGUCAGUUAGCUAAUUAUCUUGUCAUGUGAUGCGCAAGAUGAAGGCUUGUACAUUAUUUCUGAAAAUAUAAGUAAUCUAUUCAUUAUAUUA